CCCUUAGAUGUUCGGGGCCGCACGCGCGCUACACUGAAGGAAUCAGCACGUCUUUCUCCUUGUCCGAAAGGACUGGGUAACCCGCUGAACCUCCUUCGUGCUAGGGAUUGGGGCUUGUAAUUCUUCCCCAUGAACGAGGAAUUCCCAGUAAGCGCGAGUCAUAAGCUCGCGUUGAUUACGUCCCUGCCCUUUGUACACACCGCCCGUCGCUACUACCGAUUGGAUGGUUUAGUGAGAUCCUCGGAUUGGUCCCGGCGCGGCCUCUGGUCGUGCCGGAGUGCUGAAAAGAAUGUCGAACUUGAUCAUCUAGAGGAAGUAAAAGUCGUAACA
rnacentral:rRNA from 1 species